UACGUAGGUGGCAAGCGUUGUCCGGAUUUAUUGGGUUUAAAGGGUGCGUAGGCGGCCCUGUAAGUCAGUGGUGAAAUACUCCAGCUUAACUGGAGGGGUGCCAUUGAUACUGCAGGGCUUGAGUGGAGUCGAAGUAGGCGGAAUUGACGGUGUAGCGGUGAAAUGCUUAGAUAUCGUCAAGAACACCGAUAGUGAAGACAGCUUACUAGGCUUCUACUGACGCUGAGGCACGAAAGUGUGGGGAUCAAACAGG
rnacentral:rRNA from 3 species